rnacentral:misc_RNA from 1 species
UCCGGUUUGUCACCGGCAGUCACCUUAGAGUGCCCAACUAAAUGCUGGCAACUAAGAUCAAGGGUUGCGCUCGUUGCGGGACUUAACCCAACAUCUCACGACACGAGCUGACGACAACCAUGCACCACCUGUCACUCUGUCCCCCGAAGGGGAACGCUCUAUCUCUAGAGUUGUCAGAGGAUGUCAAGACCUGGUAAGGUUCUUCGCGUCGCAUCGAAUUAAUCCGCAUGCUCCGCCGCUUGUGCGGGCCCCCGUCAAUUCCUUUGAGUUUUAGCCUUGCGGCCGUACUCCCCAGGCGGGGCGCUUAAUGCGUUAGCUACGGCACAGAGAACCGGGAAGGCCCCCCACACCUAGCGCCCAACGUUUACAGCAUGGACUAC